UUGCAUGCGGCGUGCUUACACAUGCAGUCGAACGGUGAAGCAGAGCUUGCUCUGUGGAUCAGUGGCGAACGGGUGAGUAACACGUGAGCAACCUGCCCCUGACUCUGGGAUAAGCGCUGGAAACGGCGUCUAAUACUGGAUAUGAGCUGCGAUCGCAUGGUCAGCAGUUGGAAAGAUUUUUCGGUCUGGGAUGGGCUCACGGCCUAUCAGCUUGUUGGUGAGGUAAUGGCUCACCAAGGCGUCGACGGGUAGCCGGCCUGAGAGGGUGACCGGCCACACUGGGACUGAGACACGGCCCAGACUCCUACGGGAGGCAGCAGUGGGGAAUAUUGCACAAUGGGCGAAAGCCUGAUGCAGCAACGCCGCGUGAGGGAUGACGGCCUUCGGGUUGUAAACCUCUUUUAGCAGGGAAGAAGCGAAAGUGACGGUACCUGCAGAAAAAGCGCCGGCUAACUACGUGCCAGCAGCCGCGGUAAUACGUAGGGCGCAAGCGUUAUCCGGAAUUAUUGGGCGUAAAGAGCUCGUAGGCGGUUUGUCGCGUCUGCUGUGAAAUCCCGAGGCUCAACCUCGGGUCUGCAGUGGGUACGGGCAGACUAGAGUGCGGUAGGGGAGAUUGGAAUUCCUGGUGUAGCGGUGGAAUGCGCAGAUAUCAGGAGGAACACCGAUGGCGAAGGCAGAUCUCUGGGCCGUUACUGACGCUGAGGAGCGAAAGGGUGGGGAGCAAACAGGCUUAGAUACCCUGGUAGUCCACCCCGUAAACGUUGGGAACUAGUUGUGGGGUCCAUUCCACGGAUUCCGUGACGCAGCUAACGCAUUAAGUUCCCCGCCUGGGGAGUACGGCCGCAAGGCUAAAACUCAAGGAAUUGACGGGGACCCGCACAAGCGGCGGAGCAUGCGGAUUAAUUCGAUGCAACGCGAAGAACCUUACCAAAGGCUUGACAUAUACGAGAACGGGCCAGAAAUGGUCAACUCUUUGGACACUCGUAAACAGGUGGUGCAUGAUUGUCGUCAGCUCGUGUCGUGA
rnacentral:rRNA from 1 species